UACGUAGGGCGCAAGCGUUGUCCGGAAUUAUUGGGCGUAAAGAGCUCGUAGGCGGCUUGUCACGUCGGGUGUGAAAGCCCGGGGCUUAACCCCGGGUCUGCAUUCGAUACGGGCAGGCUAGAGUGUGGUAGGGGAGAUCGGAAUUCCUGGUGUAGCGGUGAAAUGCGCAGAUAUCAGGAGGAACACCGGUGGCGAAGGCGGGUCUCUGGGCCGAUACUGACGCUGAGGAGCGAAAGCGUGGGGAGCAAACAGG
rnacentral:rRNA from 1 species